rnacentral:rRNA from 1 species
AUGAUUGCUGCUAUUCCUAACAUCAUCGGCUGGCUUGCCAUCUCCUUCGCAAAAGACAUUUCUUUCCUGUAUAUGGGACGAUUGCUUGAAGGAUUUGGUGUUGGUGUCAUAUCCUACACGGUUAUGCUGGGAGGAGCACGGGCGGAGGUUAAUUGGCCGGAUCCGGAGCUCCAGUGCCUGAAUCGAGGAGCUGGAAGGCUGAGGCAGGAGGAGGAGCACAGGCUGCGCUGCUGCUGCUGUUGGUCAGUGCGGGGAGGAGCACGGACGGAGGUCAAUUGGCUGGAUCCGGAGCUCCAAUGCCUGAAUCGAGGAGCUGGAAGGCUCAGGCAGGAGGAGGAGGAGCACGGGCGGCGCUGCUGCUGGUCGGUGCGGGGAGGAGCAUGGGCGGCGCGAAGGCCAGGAGUCGUGGGCGGCGCGACGGCCAUGAGUCGCGGGCGACUGGAGGCUGUGGCGGACGGCGAGGGAGCUGCAUACGAGUUUGGGCUCUUGAUUGGAGCGGAGGAAGGCGGCCGACGAGGGAGCUGCGACCGGCGCGGACGGACGCCGGAGCUGCAGUAG